CAGGGAGAAGAGCUGAAGAUCUUACUGAAGAACUUACCGAAGAUCUUAAACUGAACAUUAAUGAUUUCUUAAUGGACAAAGACUGUUGAAGCUCUGGGGCAGUGGUCACAUAAUUACCUACCCUGCUUGAAGAUGCCUGACAACUCCACAAAAGACCACAAUAUUUGAUGAUUAUGGAAGUAAUAAGGGAGAGGAACAAGAGAGAGGAAAAGCUGAAACAGGCUUUGAUAUACGUUUGUGUUCUAGGGGAAGCAAAUUACCUCCAAAAUAUGGAAAUGAAGACACAGGGUCAUUGUGUCUGGGAGACAGGAUCCACUGACAUAGCAGAGGCAAAGGAAUGGGACAUUCUGACCCAGCCAGGUCUAAGUGAACCAGCACUAAGUCUCCAGCAGUGCUGUCUUCACAGAGCCUGAAGUUUCUGGGUGCUUUGACUCACACUGCGCAUCCCAGUGUUUCAAGCCUCUGCUGUGGAGCUUGGAGACCAGCAAUGACUAGAAUCUCUUCUAAAACCCUCCACCAACAAGGUACAAACAGUCCAACAGAUUAAAAACCCUAUUUAAUUGGUGGAGAACUAAGACACCUAGCAGAGAGUCUCAGGUGAUACUGAAAGCCUUUGGUGGAGCUUAGCCUUGAAUGUAACCUGUGAAGUAGAGCACUGUAGGACAGUGGCUCUUUCUCUAACUGAAAUAGCUACUAGCUAUAUGUCAAAAAAUUCCAUACAUAAAUUACUCAUUAUACAGUAAGAAUAAUAUCAUCUGUCACUGGAAGGAGGUGUUCAAUGCCUUUAUACAGUAUGAAAUUCUCAUGAUCAAAACCAGCAGAAUCACAUGGAAUAGAGAACAAGUUUCAUCAUUCCAUUAACUUCUCCUAAGUACAUUUCAUACUAAAUUGGGAUUUUCCCUCUGUCUUUGAAGAUCACGUUUGAUAAUUGUUUUUAUUGAAGAAUGGGCCACAGAGCACCUUUCAAGUCUCUAGGUGUAUCUAUGAAUCAAAGAUGGUCACUCAAAUGGAUUACUAGGAUGACAGUGGAAAUAUUUAUGGAUACGCAUCAACAAAUAUUCUGUACCAAUGCUGGCAAACUUCUAAAGACCAGAUUCUAAGUCAUGCUGUUCAUACACAGUACAGGCUAGAGUUAGGUGAUAUAAAGAGCUCAAGAUUGUGAAUGUAAUUUGAGCCACUAACCAAGGAAAAUUGACUGAAGAUUUGGUACAUUUAUCCACAACGUCCAAAUAUUUAUGUAGGACCAUACAUUAUAAGUUUUGUUCUUGGGUUGGUUCAGAGAGUACAAUGCCAGAAAGAAACAACUGCAAUGGAUGCUUAACAGCAGAAACUAAAAGACAUUGCAAAUAUGCUUUUGCUUAAAGUAGAGCCUACCUUGAAAUA